GGGAUGAGGAGGGCUGGGCCGCGGAGGGAAGAGCAGGGUCCAGGACGAGGGUGGAGGAGCCCGGGAGGCAGAGGAGCCUCCGGGCUCUCUCUCGUCAACCUUUCACCUGGAUGAUAGGUCUGUGCUACCAGAUUUUGUCAUCCUCUGGCACGGCCCAGCGUAUUCACUCCUCCUGGAUGCACUUCUCUGCUCUGCCUGAAGGAUGGCGAUGAAAUGACAUCUCCAUGGAAACAAGUGUUGAUCCUACAGCUGCUUAGUGAUGUGGUGCAGGAUGAUGUAAGCUACGCUCUGGUUUCCUGAGGCGCUUGGUGUGCUUUGAUGUGCCUGUGCUACUGGAGCCCAGAUGAUUAGGAGGUUGCUUCCCUUGCUUCUCCCCUUCUUAUGUAAAAGGCAAAAAGAGCUGGAGAUUGAGCUGUGCUGGGAGGAAUGCUCUUGUAAAGACAGCUGUGUCAGGAGUCAGAGGAUUUUCACCUGUGAGAUGGGAUUCAGCAAGCGCAGGCCCAAGGCACAGUGCACCGGCCCCAGAGAGCCCUCCCUGAUCAUGCCCUGCUGGGGCACUUCCUGGCGUCGACCCUUCUACAUCCUCAUUUCUUCUCGUGGAUAGUGACAUAGUGUGCAUACCUAGUACACGCUCAUCUGGUUGAGGACUGUUUACGCUUCCAGUCCCAAACAGAUAUUUUACCCCAGUUAAAAAUAGCUCCUCACACAAGGGCUGAAAACAGGCUCCUUCUCUGAGCACUUCCUCGCGCGGGUUCUCAGCCUCCCCCUGAAUCAUCGUCCCUGAGCCGCUUCACCGCCACCUCAUGGAGAGGCAAGCCAAGGCCUCCCACGCUUCCUCUGGGGACGCUGUCAGCCAGUGCCUGUCCCGUUGCUGUCCAGCCAGCCCGAAUCAGGUCUUAAUAUGCAGCCAGAUGGUGUUGCUGCCCCUUCCAGAACCACCGCCUGCUGUUCCUCCAGCAAAGAGGAAGGAGCACACCUUUUGUCCCGGUACCAGGAAGCCAGCAGUCCCUUCUGUGGCUCGAUUUUAGCAGAGCCUCUCCGCCACUCGGAAUAGUUCCUGAGUCUUCUCCUCUACCCGGUGCUCCAGGCAGAGUUUUGACCUGUCAGGAAAUGGUGUUUGAGGUGUGCUGAGGAAGCAGAGGAGGAGGCGAGGAUGGAAAAUCCAAACAUCUGGGCAGCCCGGGUGGCUCAGCGGUUUAGAGCCGCCUCCAGCCCAGGGUGUGAUCCUGGGGACCCGGGAUCGAGUCCCGUGUCAGGCUCCCUGCAUGGAGCCUGCUCCUCCCUCUGCCUGUGUCUUUGCCUCUCUCUCUCUCUGUGUCUCUCAUGAAUAAAUAAAUAAAAUAAUAAUAAAAAAGAAGAAAAUCCAAACAUCUUUCCAAAAUCGCUGUGGACAGGCAAUUUAUGUUUUCGCAUCAGUCUGGCUUUCAAACAACCAGAGCCACUCGUCCGAUGAGUUCCUGGCAUUCUCAUAAGCCAUACCAUCAUGCCUCCAUCUGGGAAUCAGACAGAGUUGUGACAACCUGUAGAACCAUCCAGCUGAGUCAGGUGACAGGUUCCUGAGCCGGCUGGACAGGCUGUGGCAUCACCCACACUGAAGAUAAUAACACCACGAAGAAAGUUCUCUCCAUUCUGGAAACCUAAAGGAAUGUGUGCAAGUCCCUGCCACCCCACCCCCUGGCCAUCAUUCAGCCACAUACAUACUCCUUGUCUUCAGUACGACUUCCACGUUGGUGCUACUUCAAGAGCUCUGAGGCUGCAGAAGCUGGAGAUGACUGCUUCUCCCUCCCAGAUCCUGGGCUCCUGCUUAUACCCGUGAGGAAUUUAUUGCACGUUUCCCCGCUUUUUUUCAGCUGAGUGAGACACACACAGGCUAUGCACCUUGUUCCAUGAUUUGUCAGGGGUCGAGGUGGGGGAUUCACCUCUGGCCUUUUCAUCCUUAAGUCAGUGUCUUGUGUGUUUCCGCAAUCAUCAUGGACAUUGGCACCUCAGCAUCCCGACCGCUAACAGAUACGUUUUGCUCUUUCUCUCUGUCAUUGCACUGUGGGCCCAUCAGACUCCUCAGACUCCAUCCAUGCAUUCUGCAGAGGGGGGACCCCCAGGCUCAGACCCAGGCACCAAGUCCCCCAGCCCGCAGAUGGCAAAACAGGGAGGGAAUUCAGCUUCCUUGAGGAUGGUGUCCCCUUCAGCUCCAGCAAAUCAUCAACUUCCUUAGCCCAAAGUGCAGUGCUCUCCGUGACUUGCACCCCCCAAUCCUUUCGGCAGUCCUGAAUGGCAGCAAUAGGAGGGGUCCACUUCUAGGCAGGGCAGACCCAGGAGACAACCCCAGGGUGGGUUAGGUUUUGUGGAGCCUGAAAUUUAUACAAUUUUGAAGACUGUCUUUAUGAAAGACAUGCACCCACGGACUACUUUUGCUGAUUUCGCAGAAACCAGGGAGCUGCUGUUGAGGGGCCCUGAAGAUGAUGCUUCAUUAUCUCCCCAGUAAUCCGCCUCUGUAUAAAAUGCUAAGCACUGCUGAGGGCACGCAAAACCUGGGUCACUCUCCCCUCUGCUCGCAGGCAUCUUGUCUGGCACAGAUGCAAAAUUACAGUAUCUUUGCAUCUGAAAACAGCACUGUCAUCCCAGAGCCCUGGAGGCCCAUUCUACAUGUCAAGCUAAUUAUUAGGUGAUGAGAGAAUGGCUCCAGUGUGUGCUGCCUGGGUGAGCUCUGCCGCUGCCAAAACACCCCUGGAGGCCAAGUGACAGGCUUGCAAAGAGGGGAAGAAUGAAAGGUUUCAGGUCUGGAUGCUAAAAACCAGCCCUGAGCUCACCCCUGUCAGGAAGCUGCCUCAGAGGUGGAGGAUAGGAGGGAGGCUGUGGCCGAGGCUGGAGGAAGCCAGGGCAGGUACAGACCAGUUCCCCAGAGAAAGCAGCAGUGGGAAUUUAUUUUUUUAUUUGUUUUUUAUUGAAGUUCGAUUUGCCAACAUAUGUAUAACACCCAGUGCUCAUCCCAUCAAGGGUCCUCCUCUGUGCCCCUCAC